UGACCUCAAAUCAGGUAGGACUACCCGCUGAACUUAAGCAUAUCAAUAAGCGGAGGAAAAGAAACUAACAAGGAUUCCCCUAGUAACUGCGAGUGAAGUGGGAAAAGCUCAAAUUUAAAAUCUGGCAGUCUCUGGCUGUCCGAGUUGUAAUCUAGAGAAGUGUUAUCCGCGCUGGACCGUGUACAAGUCUCCUGGAAUGGAGCGUCAUAGAGGGUGAGAAUCCCGUCUUUGACACGGACUGCCAGGGCUUUGUGAUGCGCUCUCAAAGAGUCGAGUUGUUUGGGAAUGCAGCUCAAAAUGGGUGGUAAAUUCCAUCUAAAGCUAAAUAUUGGCGAGAGACCGAUAGCGAACAAGUACCGUGAGGGAAAGAUGAAAAGAACUUUGGAAAGAGAGUUAAACAGUACGUGAAAUUGCUGAAAGGGAAACGCUUGAAGUCAGUCGCGUUGGUCAGGGAUCAACCUUGCUUUUGCUAGGUGUACUUUCUGGUUGACGGGUCAGCAUCAAUUUUGAUCAUUGGAAAAAGAUUAGGGGAAUGUGGCAUCCUUGGAUGUGUUAUAGCCCUUGGUUGUAUACAAUGGUUGGGAUUGAGGAGCUCAGCACGCCGCAAGGCCGGGUUU
rnacentral:rRNA from 2 species